GCGAGGUCGACUUCACGCUCAGAUCGACUCCUUCUCGGUCACACUUGAAGUACGACAGGCGACCAAUUUCAAGAGUUCUCCGGUUCUAAGGGCGCUUGACUGUCGAAUAGGAAACGUUGCUCUGACCUCAUCGGGAAUGGGGUCACUAGACUACCUCAUUGAAGCCAGCGUGAACGUUUUCCCAAACGUUUUCAGGAACGAAAUCUUAGAUCGACUUGAGACGAAAUUGUGGCAGUCAGUGCAAGAAGUUCUCCAUCACAUAGACCUCCGCACAAUCAUCCUCCACCACAUUGAGAAGCGAAACAAAACGACAUGAAUUUCGGAGUGAAGGCGCUGGACGUGGAGCAAGAACACC